AUUGAACGCUGGCGGAAUGCUUUACACAUGCAAGUCGAACGGCAGCACGGGGCAACCUGGUGGCGAGUGGCGAACGGGUGAGUAAUAUAUCGGAACGUGCCCAAUCGUGGGGAUAACGUAGCGAAAGUUACGCUAAUACCGCAUACGAUCUACGGAUGAAAGCGGGGGAUCGCAAGACCUCGCGCGAAUGGAGCGGCCGAUAUCAGAUUAGGUAGUUGGUGGGGUAAAGGCUCACCAAGCCAACGAUCUGUAGCUGGUCUGAGAGGACGACCAGCCACACUGGAACUGAGACACGGUCCAGACUCCUACGGGAGGCAGCAGUGGGGAAUUUUGGACAAUGGGCGCAAGCCUGAUCCAGCCAUUCCGCGUGCAGGAUGAAGGCCUUCGGGUUGUAAACUGCUUUGUACGGAACGAAACGGUACUGCCUAAUACGUGGCGUAAUGACGGUACCGUAA
rnacentral:rRNA from 1 species